rnacentral:rRNA from 1 species
AUACGUAGGGUGCGAGCGUUAAUCGGAAUUACUGGGCGUAAAGCGUGCGCAGGCGGUUAUGCAAGACAGAGGUGAAAUCCCCGGGCUCAACCUGGGAACUGCCUUUGUGACUGCAUAGCUAGAGUGCGGCAGAGGGGGAUGGAAUUCCGCGUGUAGCAGUGAAAUGCGUAGAUAUGCGGAGGAACACCGAUGGCGAAGGCAAUCCCCUGGGCCUGCACUGACGCUCAUGCACGAAAGCGUGGGGAGCAAACAGGAUUAGAUACCCUGGUAGUCCACGCCCUAAACGAUGUCAACUGGUUGUUGGGAAUUUACUUUCUCAGUAACGAAGCUAACGCGUGAAGUUGACCGCCUGGGGAGUACGGCCGCAAGGUUAAA